rnacentral:lncRNA from 1 species
AAAAAUAAGCCCGGCCCGUUACGCCUGGCAGGGCAUAAUCUGAUGUCCAACCAAGCUUCAGACUUCUCCGUUGGCUCUUGCCCUAGAAGAAGCAAGUCCGCCUUCUCUCCAUCGUCGGCCGCCGCCGAACCACCUAUACCACCGCCACAGGUACUCUCUCUCCCUCUCUCUCGCUCUCUCCCUUCCUCCCUUCCCCUCUCUCCCUCUUUCUGUGAGACCCUGGGACUGGGCCCGGUCCACUUGACCGGCCCAGCCACAGGCUUCGGGCCUCACGUGCGUCGCACGUGAGGGCGCGCGAUGCAGGGGGAUUCAUCGCGAUCGCCCGAGGAAGACGGAACCCCUGGGUUUAGGGCUUCUCCUCCCUCUCCUUUGAGGCCAUCCGAGGUAGAGCCACCAAGCCCGGACUUCCUUCUGGUUUGGGGGUUCUUCCUCCUCGUUUUGCCGCCGAUAGAGAGAGAG